rnacentral:rRNA from 1 species
UACGUAGGGGGCAAGCGUUGUCCGGAAUCAUUGGGCGUAAAGCGCGUGUAGGCGGCCCGGUAAGUCCGCUGUGAAAGUCGGGGGCUCAACCCUCGAAUGCCGGUGGAUACUGUCGGGCUAGAGUGCGGGAGAGGCGAGUGGAAUUCCUGGUGUAGCGGUGAAAUGCGCAGAUAUCAGGAAGAACACCUAUGGCGAAGGCAGCUCUCUGGGACGGUACUGACGCUGAGACGCGAAAGCGUGGGGAGCGAACAGG